rnacentral:rRNA from 1 species
CGUAGGCGGCUUAUCAAGUCGGGGGUGAAAGCCCGUGGCUCAACCACGGAAUGGCCUUCGAUACUGGUAGGCUUGAGACCGGAAGAGGACAGCGGAACUGCGAGUGUAGAGGUGAAAUUCGUAGAUAUUCGCAAGAACACCCAGUGGCGAAGGCGGCUGUCUGGUCCGGUUCUGACGCUGAGGCGCGAAAGCGUGGGGAGCAAACA